GGAAGGGUGGCAGAGUCCGGUUUAAUGCGGCGGUCUUGAAAACCGUUGAGGGUUUGCGCUCUCCGGGGGUUCGAAUCCCUCCCCUUCCGCCA
rnacentral:tRNA from 3 species